AAAAACAAACAAUUUUAAUCAUUUAAAUUUAAAGACAAUAUUUUAAUGAUUGAGUGCAUUUAGAUUCACAAAUCCAAAUCUUUAAAAAAUCAAAUGCAGCCUUAAAGACUUGGGCCUGACCGAUUUAAAAUAGGUAAUUAAAUUACUUAACCCAAACCACUAAGCUACUUACGCCCUAAGAUACCCACCUCCUUAGCAAUAGUAAUAAUAAUAAAAAAGAAAUUAGAAGGAGAGAAAAGGCGGUGAAAUUCAGAGAGGGAGGCAGUGGAAGGGGCAUGUCUAGUUUGAUGGUUUUAGCAGCAACCUGUCCAGCAUCGCUCUUUUAGGGAAAAAAAAGGGAAGAAGAAGAAGAAGAAACAGAGGUACAGGAAGCAGAGAAGGAGAACCCAGCAGAGAAGAAAAGAGAGAAGAAGAAAGGAAGCAAGAAAGGAACCUAACAGCAAAAAUCAAUACCGACUAAAGGUUUUCUUCUCUAAAACCUGAAACAAGCAAAAUGGAAGACGGACCAAGAAGGCCCAACUAUUUUCCUCCAUUAUUGACUUACAAGUAAUUCGAGGACGAAGUCGUUGGAUGCAAACUAAGCCUAUUUCGCCGGAGUACUGUGAGGGAUAAUUUUCCCAUACUUGAUUUUCAACUACAACAUGUUUUAAAUUUGUUUUCUUGCAUUAAAAUGAUUUUAAUUUGCACACGGACAAGCGAUAGUAUGAUAAACAUUUGACAAUAUACUGAAUCACCUUGCCAUAACUUUAUGUACUAGUUACUUUGAAUGUAUGUUAUUUACGAGAUAUCAUAUAAUGUUGGAUUCAAAUUUGAUACAAGAAGAAUAUGAAAUAUAUGUUGUUUUAUGAAGAAACUAUUUCAGGAAGUAACUUUGCCAGUUUCGCCAUUAUCUAACGGCGGGAUGUUGAACCUGGUGCAACUUGUAGGAAACAAUGAUGUUGUACAAAGACCCUCUAGAAGGGAACCUAGCUGACAGGGUAGCCAGACUGGCUAUGGUAAAUCUGAAGUGUCAGAAAGUAUACUCUAGACUGGCUUAGGAUCCUCCAAAUAAAUAAUGUUGUGACUAUUUUAACAGCUUUAAUAUAGUUUUCGUACAUGAAUUGUCAGUCUAAUUGAAACAAGCUAGUUGAUGAAUUAUAAACUGCAUGAUUUCUUAUAUGUGUCUGUCCCAGGUAAAAUGCUAUGGUUGAUAUUAUUACUCACUCAGUCUCACAGACUGACCCACUCUCUAUUCUUUUUCCUUUUGAGAUAACUUAGCUAAGGGUGACCAUUUGGCUCCAACAGAGUGAGAUACAAAACUGAUUCCAGAUCCAGUAAGCGCCGCACUUGCUUCGUGUGGCUCAUCAUUUUGUGUAGACAAAUGUAGUAUAUUAGUUUAGUUAAAUCUAGAGGCUUGCUCCUUGAGUCGGUCUGGUAAAUUUGGUUUUGGCUUUGUAAUCGUAAAAGGCAUAACUUGAAACUUCAAAAGUUUUGUGGAAGUCACUUUCAUUUUUGGUAUUUUAGACUUAAUAUGUUGGCAUUGUAGUAUGAGUGUUGGUUUGCUGAAUAUUGACAUGUUUAAAUUUA